UCGAGCGAGAAAGGGGAGCAAUCCCUGAGUAAAGCGGCGUACGGGUGAGUAACACGUGGAUGAUCUACCUUCUAGUGGGGAAUAACCCUGGGAAACCGGGGCUAAUACCGCAUAAGCACGAGAGUGGAAAGCAGCAAUGCGCUGGAAGAGGAGUCCGCGGCCGAUUAGCUAGUUGGCAGGGUAAAAGCCUACCAAGGCAAAGAUCGGUAGCCGGCCUGAGAGGGCACACGGCCACACUGGCACUGAAACACGGGCCAGACUCCUACGGGAGGCAGCAGUGGGGAAUCUUGCACAAUGGGGGAAACCCUGAUGCAGCGACGCCGCGUGAGCGAUGAAGCCCUUCGGGGUGUAAAGCUCUUUCGGCAGGGAAGAUGAUGACGGUACCUGCAGAAGCAGCUGCGGCUAACUACGUGCCAGCAGCCGCGGUAAUACGUAGGCAGCGAGCGUUGUUCGGAGUUACUGGGCGUAAAGGGUGCGUAGGCGGUUGUUUAAGUUUGGUGUGAAAUCUCCCGGCUCAACUGGGAGGGUGCGCCGAAUACUGAAUGACUAGAGUGCGGGAGAGGAGAGUGGAAUUCCUGGUGUAGCGGUGAAAUGCGUAGAUAUCAGGAGGAACACCGGUGGUGUAGACGGCUCACUGGACCGUAACUGACGCUGAGGCACGAAAGCGUGGGUAGCAAACAGGAUUAGAUACCCUGGUAGUCCACGCCCUAAACGAUGCAUAUUUGGCGUGGGCAGUUCAGUCUGUCCGUGCCGGAGCUAACGCGUUAAAUAUGCCGCCUGGGGAGUACAGUCG
rnacentral:rRNA from 1 species